rnacentral:rRNA from 1 species
UACGUAGGGGGCAAGCGUUGUCCGGAAUUACUGGGCGUAAAGAGUUCGUAGGCGGUUUGUCGCGUCGUUUGUGAAAACCAGCAGCUCAACUGCUGGCUUGCAGGCGAUACGGGCAGACUUGAGUACUGCAGGGGAGACUGGAAUUCCUGGUGUAGCGGUGAAAUGCGCAGAUAUCAGGAGGAACACCGGUGGCGAAGGCGGGUCUCUGGGCAGUAACUGACGCUGAGGAACGAAAGCGUGGGUAGCGAACAGG